CUCAAUCCUUUAGAAAGGCCCCAAAACCAAGCCAUUCGGCCGAUCCUAGCCUUAUUCCCUCUUUACCAGCAAACCCUAGCCCCCUUUUAACCUCAUCACUGAUCCACCACCACGAACGGCGGCCAGUGGUUCUGGGGCUCCGUCGAAACGAUUUUUAGCCUGGAGAUCCCUUUUGGGCUUUGAUUUCAACGAAGCAAAAGAAGACCGACGGCCUAUUCGUAAGGUAAGAUCGCACCUUUCUUUUCCUUUUGUUUUUAAAAUGCCAAUAUUGAAACAAAAUCGAUAGAAUAUCAGUAAAAAAAAACUCACAGAGAAUGAAAGAGAUUAAAAAAAACCAGAAAUCACCUCUUCAAAAACUGUUUUCGAAUCUUUUCUAUUCAAUAUGUGUAUAUUGUGCCAGCGUAAAAAAAAAUAGAGAGCCUUUACAAUCAAAAAUCAAAGGGCUUUAUAGACAGAUAAUCAAAAGAAAAAAAUACAAAAAAUUUUCUAUUGGCUGCUGCUCUUGCUGCUGUUUUUGUUUUCUUUUGUAGGUACAGGGUGCGUGGCGCGUGUACGGGUACUUGGCGUGAGGCGUACGGAGGCGCGCGUGGUGGUCGUACGGUGCUGAAGGCUGGGGCCUGGCUGCGGCGCAAGGGAGAGAACCCUAGGGUUCUAGUGCUUUAAUUUUCUAGGCCUAUCGGGCUUGUAUUUUGGGUCUAGAUUUUAGGUUUUGAAUUUGGGUUUUGAUUGGUUAUUGGGCUAUGGACCAUUGUAAUGAUUUUGGACUUUGGACUAUUAAUUUGGUUUUAUUUUUAUGGAUUUUAUAUUUAUUUAUUUUUGUGUUUGUAAUGGGCUGGGCAAAUUUGGCCCACUACACAUGAAGUUUUUUCUAUGAAUCCACAUGUUUGAAUCUACUUUAUCCACAC
rnacentral:lncRNA from 1 species